rnacentral:lncRNA from 1 species
GAGGAAGUCAUGCACAUCUUGCUUGAAAUUUAACCAGUAAAAGUAAGUUGGAUGGUGAUUAGCCAGUCUUCGAUUGGAUCAUUAUUAUUUUAUUUGGGAAUAUUAAGAUUUGUUUAAAUUUUUAAUGAUCUACAUCUAGCAGCCAGUAGUAGAAAUGUAUUUUGUGAGUUUUCCCCCACUUUGUUUUUUUGAUUGUAAAUUGCCUGAGGGCUUAAGUUUUAUUGCCUUUCACAGAAUGGCGUAGAUACAGUGGAAAUGGUUUUCCUUAAAACCAUCUCUUUAGAGCUGCCUUUCUGCAUGGAUAAGCAGACAGUGACAGUUGGUAAGUAUAUAACUUCAAAUGCAUGUAGUAGUGGUAAAGGUGAGCUCCCAAAUUUUGUUCCAAGAUCAGAAGUGAGGCUUUCUAGGAUUUUAUAUGUAUAUCUAACGUUUUCUCCAAAUCUAAGUACUCAUUGAUUAAACUGAAAUGCACCUUACUUGUCUGAUUUGGUUUUUGUUUGUUUUGUUUUUAGGAGAUUUUUUUGUAUGGUAGUUUAAAAUCUAAUUUUAUAUUUUAAACUUUCUUUGGUGUAUAUCAAUAAGUGGCUCUUCUUUUGACAACCCAAUAUUGACCUGGAGUUUACUUAACACUUCUGUUUUUCAUUUCAAUUUAUGACUAAGCAAAAUAUGGUGGCAAUGGGAGAGAACCACUCUUAAUUUCUGUAAUGGAGGUCAGUGCAUAAUUUAAGGUUUAUAUAUAUGUCUGUGGUGCACCCACAUGCAGUUUUUUCUUGAGGCCAGAAGAAUAUUGUCUGAUUCUUAGAGUGAAGUGGAGCUUCAGACACUUGUGACCUACCAUUGAACAGUCAGUGUUCAUCCCUGAGCCAGUGCUGGUUGGUGUUAUAUAGAGAGAGUUUGGUGCUGGGAAGGGAGCUUUUCUUGUAUUUUAUGAUUAUGCCCCCGGGGUAUGUAGGUAGUUUAUGUUUGUAUGUGGUUUCUAGGGAGCCAACUCAACCUUCUGGGAUUCUGUUGGUAACAAAAGUAUGAUAGGUAAGGUGAAAAGGGUCUAAUUUUAUUUCUGAGAUAUGAGUCAUUUUUUUACAGCAUUGUUUUCUGAAAAGUUAAAGAAGUGGGUAUGCUUGUCUUUAAUUUAGUCUCCAGGUUUACCCCUGACAAGUGUCAGUUGGAUUUGGAGAAAAUGAAGAGCAAAGUCAUGUGGGGGAUGUGAUUGAUUGUAUGGAGGAUCUGAGCAUAGCGUCAGAAGGAAGAAUAAAUUUGCUAGCCUGUGUAUGAUUAAAUGGUACAUGAGCAGAAAUUGUUAUAAAUGUCGUUUUUUAUAUAACUAAGUCUUCUAAAGGUAAUUAUAUGCUAGCCUUUAAUUCAUUAACAUUGGAACCUUGUGAUACAUGAAUUUGGUCGAGUUUAUUAAAAAUAAAAAUUUCCCACACAAAUAAUAGUGUAUGUGAUACUUUGAUGUGUCUCUCUCCUGGCUCAGGAACAUUAAAGUGUGUUCUUCUCCAACCCAAAUACACACACACACACACACACACACACACACACACACACACACACACACACAAAGAUUUGCACUUAGCAAGAUAGAUCUCUCUUUAUCCCUGGUGUUAAUGGAAUUUGAUAUGUGUGUUCUGCUGACCUGGAACUCUAGAAAUCCUCCUGCCUUUUGUCUCUCCAGUGGUGGGAUUAAAGGUAUAUACCACCAAGCUGAGCAUAGAUUUGACUCUUCAUCAUCUCUAGUUCCUGUACUUAUAUGCCCAUACCUUAGCAAUGAUCUAAGUAAUUUAAUUGCAGUGUGUACUUAAUGUUUUCUGUUUUUCCAUAACCUUUACAUGGAAUGCCAUCCUUCUACCACUGUGCAAGCAACCUCCAGCUCUCUUUUCCCUUACAGUGAGGCUGCAUAGCCUUAGCUGUCCUAGAAAAGUCUGUAGAAUAGGUUGUCCAUGAGCUCCCCUUUCCUUUGCCUCAUAAGAGUGCCACCAUGCAUACAUAUAAAUUAUAUCCAUGAAUGUGCAGUUGUCUGCAGCGGCCAAAAGAGGUGGUGGAUCAGCCACCUCUGAUAUUGAUGCAAGGAAUUAGAAUCACUUCAUUUGUAAGAACAUCUAGUUACCUUAACCACUCAGCCAUCUCUCCAGCUUAAUAAAGGAACGACUGUUUAAAGAGAAAGAAACAGGUCCAGAGGUGGUACACAUAAUCUCCACCUCAUAAGAAGCAGAGGCAGGCCAUCCGAGUCUAGGCACAGAAGCCCUUUCUCAAAAUCUAAGUGAAUUUAAAUAACGUUCUAUUAUAUGCCUGUAUGAAUGGGCAUUUUGAAUGUAUGCAUGUGUACUGUAGGCAUGUGUGGUUUCCACAGAGGUCAGAAAAAGAUGUCAGAUCUCCUGGGCUGCAGUCACACAUGGUUGUGAGUUGCUAUGUGGGUGCUGAGAACUGAACAUCAGUCCUGCAAGAGCAAGCAGUAUUCUUACUGUCUUUUCAGCCCUGAGACCAAGUUUUAUUAAAAGGUCUAGGCUGUCUGUUCUAAACUUAAGAUUAUAUUUCAGCCUCUAAAAUAGUGUUUCACAGACCUCUACUACCAG